UAGAAUUAUGACUAUUCCUGAAAAUUUUACCAGAUGCUGACACAAAAGACAAAAUUGGCAAAAAAAAAGUGUGAAUAUAAACACAUACAAUACAGGAGAAAAAAGUAAACUAGGAGAAAAAGUACGACAAGUCAUUGUUAAAUAGGAGUGUGAAUUUUCGAAAACAGUUGCGAAAAAUCAGACAUCGGAUUCAAACAAAAAUUUUUGAAAAUACAUGUAGAAAACCUAAUAUAAACCAAAUUUAUACUAUCCACUUCAAAUAUAAAAAUCAGUAUCAUGCUGGUGUAAUAGUACUGACUGAAAAUAGGCUUAGUCAUACAUACAAAAUGAUAUUCGAUUGGCUUACAAAAAAUGUUGAAGGUCUAAAAGAUAAAGAGAUGAUCAUUAUGACUGAUUAUGAGAAGGCCACGGUUAAAGCACUCAGAAAGUGUUUCCCAUGUGCAAAAAUUCACGGCUGUUUUUUUCACUUUGUAUACAGGUGAAAGUGUAAC